CGGGGCCGCGCUACUUUUGGAGGCUCCCCAGGAAAUAAAGCUUCCUCUGCCUGCUCCAGGGAGCAGAAGUGACUCACGAGGAGACUGACUCAUGAGAUCGAUGGGCGGGAGAGCUGGGGAGGCAGCUUUCAGCUUAAUGGGAACAAAUCUACAAUGAAACACAGAUUUUGUAUGUAUAUUUGCUGAUUUCUUGACUAAUGCAUACACUUGUAUAACCGAAACCUGUCUCAAGAUAUAGAACAUUCUCGUCACCCAUAAAGUUCCCGUGUGCCCCUUCGCAGUCAGUCCCAGCCCACCCAGAGGCAUCCAACACAUCAAUUGAAUUUCUUGCUCAUCCUUCAGUGAAGACUAUCAAAGAUACGUGGAUAAGAGGUGAUCUUUGAGAAGAAGCAGAAUGAUAUGUUUUCAUCUUGUUAUUCCUGAUUCCCAUUCUCUGGGUUUCUGGUCCCAAGUCAGCAGGGAGUCCUCUACACCUGGAACUGCCCAUUUCUGGAGAGGGGAGGAAACGUCAGGCUUGCUUGUGAAGAGCAUCUCAUCCUGAGUCCAACAGGAGGAAACCAAUCUCUCAGCACUCUCCUCCAAGCCAAGGACAAAUGACGUUCCCAACACACGUGCAUGAAGCCAGGGGGAUUAAUUGUGUAGCGCUGAAGGAAAAUUACAACUUUCCUAAGAAGCUUAAAAUACACAAAUUAAAUCUCGUCUGUGAUUAAAUCCUGGCUACUUCUCAUCCUGGUUUAUGUCUGUGGUUCUUGGGAAAUUAAAAAGUGUUUGCCCAACCACUGACUAUCGAUCAAGUUUUAAAGACUAAGAGGCACGGAGAGCUCUCGGAAAGAAGAACGUGACGUAAGACUGUGGGGUUCACAGAAGAAAGCCAACGUGACACGGUGGUGCUGAAGAGUGGGGAGGUGUUUGUGAAUAAAAGGAGGCCACCCAUCUCUGUAGGCUGAACUGAGCUGAGCUGACAUUGUCACUAAUAAAAUGCUGAGGAAACAUUUUAAUGCAAUAGGCUAUGUUCACUGGGGCUAAAAAUAAAUGCUUUCUGGUAUUCUGUAGUAACACCGAAAAUGACUUCACAGGUGUGAAACGUGGAGAAGAAUUUAGUUGCAUGUCUUGGUUUUUUCAGCCAUAAGCAAAAAGGCCUCCCCUUGUGUGGUGUCCUCUCUCGUCAGUGAUGUAACACCCAUACAACGUUGAACAGAAC